rnacentral:lncRNA from 1 species
GUUUCGUUAGUCAUUUUUUAGUAUUUUUUUAUGUACCGGAAGACUUUGCAAAAGAGUUUCGGUAGUCAAUUUUUGUGUACCGGAAAACUUUGCAAAAGAGUUCCGGUAGUCAUUUCUCAAAUAUUUUUUUAACAUUUUUUGUGUGUACCGGAAGACUUUGCAAAAGAAUUCCGAUAGUCAAAUUUUAUGUACCGGAAGACUUUACAAAAGAGUUCCGGUAGUCAUUUUCAAAUAUUUUU